rnacentral:rRNA from 1 species
AUUGAACGCUGGCGGCAGGCCUAACACAUGCAAGUCGAACGAGUGGCGGACGGGUGAGUAAUGUCUGGGAAACUGCCUGAUGGAGGGGGAUAACUACUGGAAACGGUAGCUAAUACCGCAUACCAUCAGAUGUGCCCAGAUGGGAUUAGCUAGGGUGUGGGGUAACGGCUCACCAAGGCGACGAUCCCUAGCUGGUCUGAGAGGAUGACCAGCCACACUGGAACUGAGACAAGGUACAGACGCCUACGGGAGGCAGCAGUGGGGAAUAUGGCACAAUGGGCGCAAGCCUGAUGCAACAAUGCCGCGUGUAUGAAGAAGGCCUUCGGGUUGUAAAGUACUUUCAGCGGGGAGGCGUUACCAGCAGAAGAAGCACCGGCUAACUCCGUGCCAGCCGCCGCGGUAAUUC